rnacentral:rRNA from 1 species
GACAGAGGUCCCGAGCGUUAGGCGGAAUCACUGGGCUUAAAGCGUGUGUAGGCGGAUCCGUAAGUACCUUGUGAAAUCCCACGGCUCACCCGUGGAACUGCUCGGUAUACUGCGGGUCUUGGGCCAUCUAGGGGCGAGCGGAACAAACGGUGGAGCGGUGAAAUGCGUAGAUAUCGCUUGGAACGCCGAAGGUGAAAACAGGCUGCUGGGGUUGCGCCGACGCUGAGACACGAAAGCCAGGGGAGCAAACGGG